AUUGAACGCUGGUGGCAGGCUUAACACAUGCAAGUCGAGCGGCAGCAAGCCUUCGGGCGUUGGCGAGCGGCGGACGGGUGAGUAAUGCAUAGGAAUCUGCUUGCACGCUCUCACUCCAGGAUGAGCCCACGUCCGAUUAGCUAGUUGGUAGGGUAAAGGCCUACCAAGGCCACGAUCGGUAGCUGGUCUGAGAGGAUGAUCAGCCACACUGGGACUGAGACACGGCCCAGACUCCUACGGGAGGCAGCAGUGGGGAAUAUUGGACAAUGGGCGCAAGCCUGAUCCAGCAAUGCCGCGUGUGUGAAGAAGGCCUGCGGGUUGUAAAGCACUUUCAGUGGGGAAGAACAGAUUCGGGUCAAUACCCCGGAGCCCUGACGUUACCCACAGAAGAAGCACCGGCUAACUCCGUG
rnacentral:rRNA from 1 species